GUCCUUUUAGAGCCACACCCAUGGCAUGUGGAGGUUCCCAGGCUAGGGGUCUAAUCCUAGCUGUAACCUCCAGCCUACACCAGAGCCACAGCAAUGCCAGAUCCGAGCUGCACCUGUGAUCUACACCACAGCUCACGGCAACGCCGGAUCCUUAACCCACUGAGCAAGGCCAGGGAUCAAACCCGCAACCUCACGGUUGCUAGUCAGGUUUGUGAACCACCAAGCCACAACGGGAACUCCCCCCCUUUUCUCUUAAACAGUGCUUUCCUCUUUAGACAGGUAGUUCACAAGGAAAUCCCAGCAUUCCUCGACCUACAGAAUGCCUAUUGUUACCUACCAUAAUAUCUACAAAAGACUCUUGAUAUGGGGGCUGACUGGCUGAUAGAUCAAUCUCUUUCUUUUCUCCUGCUUUGCUUCCUUGGGAAAAAGAACAGUGUGUUUUGAAAACAUAAAAAUGCAUAACAGUAAACUCAGGGGCCUGAAGACCUAGAUCACGUUCUUUUAAAUUCAGCUGCUCAACAUUCAAGAGUAUCCCGCUGGUAAUUUUGCCCAAAGAAACACCUGUACGUGGAAAUCGAAGCUGAAAUCUGUUCCUUGAUUUUGCCAGGAGAGGUAACAAGGGCAGGGAGGUUGUGGGCACCAAGAGACGGAAAAAUCACUGUAAUUGGCAGGUUUCAACAAUCUGUCUCUAAUUAUCCACCUUCAGACAUUUGGGGAAAACUAUAGGAAUUGGUAGCAAAACACAAAAGAUGAUUUUUGGCAUAAGGAAAUAAUGCAUGAGAUUAGGAAGCAGUGUAAUAAUCACAUCCUUCACACACAAUGGUUUUAACCCACCCACGUUGCACAGUUCCGUCGGUGGAACCAUCUCCGCGAAGGCGAGGUCUAGAGAAGAGCUUCUCUCUCUUCCUUCUCAUCCUCAGGAGAAACCUUAAAGAGGCAGUCAUGAAACUGUCCGUGCUGGGCGAUGGAAGGGCUGUCUCUUGCUUUCUUUGCGCUGCCCCUCAAGGUAAACGCCAAGGAUUUCCGAAUGCUGAAGUUCGAAUUUGGACUUGGGAGCCAGAUGGAGAUCUGUGUUUUGGUUUCUCUGAUUUCCGCCUAUCAGACCUCUGAAAACCUCGGUGGUUUCUAUAGCACACGUGUGUCAAGAUUCCUGAGAUAUAAACAACUCCAAAGAACCACACCAAACUGACAUAUCAUCAGCGUUCGUGACAUAAAGAGCACUGACGGAGAAGGGAUUUAGACCGAGCACGGGUCUGAAACCCCAGUUCCCAACUUAGACGGCAGUGUUACUUCUCUGAGCCUGAACUUUGCUCCCCUGGGAAGUGAGCACGACCCACCCCACGGAGAGGUGAGGAUUAAAUGAGAUAAUGCGCUAUAAGAUGCAGAGCACAGCAACCAGAGUGUUACCAACAGCCUGUCAAUACGAAAAAUAACUACUGUCACCAACCAGCUGGAUACGGGGUUCAUCAGAAUGAAGUUCACAGGGUGAAAAUGUUCAGAUAUCGACAUAGAAACAGCCACAAAACCUCUCUUGGAGUUAGAAUUCUGAAACCAUGAUGACAUCACAGGUUGGUUUUGCUUCAAUACGUGCCCUGGGGUCACAGACAGAACUCCGUUUAAGUAUAAUCAGCGCCUUUUAUUACCCUGGGUGUUUUGUAAUGUAUAUCUAACAAAGGUCUGAGAAGGCUUCAUCAGGCUGCCAUAGGAAGGAAGGAAGGAAGGAAGAGGGAGGGAAAGAAAGCAAAAGAACAAGCAAGCAAAAUGUAAAUAAAACAAACCAUAGCUACAAACCCCAAAUUAUUCUACAGGCAAGCUCGCCUGUAUGACCCUUGGUUAGGAUGCACUUGAUGAGGGGUCGCUUAAAACCCAUGAUUUGUAUUAAAAUGUCUAUGGUGGACGCCCCUCUCCAAACAACUGAUUCUUCACCAGUGAUGGGAGGAAGCUGGGGCUUUAAGGCCUCCGAGUUCCCCGGCUGCCUCACUUCCACUGCCCCCGAAGGCUAAGCAGGAAAAACCAGCCACUAAAAAACAAACCGGCCUUUUCAUCUCCUCAAAACCCCUAACUAAAGUUCAUUUUCGCAAGCCAAAUUUAAAAAUCAAUUAAUAAAUUACAACUGCCAAAGAAUGUUAAAAAGCCCAGAGGCACCUAAGAAGAGCUUAGGAGAAACAACAAAGCAUUAAGCCUGAGAUAAAUGGGUUUGCUGGGUGUUUACUGCGAUGUUGACUUAGUAUCCCAAAGCAAAAAUUCUCUCCCCUCCACUUACCAUGCUUUGUAGGAUAAUAGCAGCAUUAAUUUUAAAAUGAUCAUGAAUCAAUCAUGAAAUCUGACGCUUGUUUUCACUGGCAACAAAACACUGUAAUUAGCACCUUGAAUGAGAGCACGUUCUAGACGGGCCUCGGUGAGAGCGAUCUGCUGUUAAUUCUUUCCUAAUUGUCCAGAGGAGAGGCCGCUCAAAAGUCCUGGGCUGUGUCAAGAGCUCCACCCCCAUCCGCUACGAGUCCUGUGACACCACCUGCGGGACCUGUUUAGGACGCUACAGAGCACAGCUUCGCAACCUCGGCCCCAUGGACACCUUGCUGCGGAGGCUGUCCUGCAGGACAUGGCAGGGAGUUUACCAGCAUCCCUGGACUGUGCCCACUAGAUGCUGGUAUCACCUUCCCUCCUUCACUGCCACUCCCCACCCCUGCCCCGAGGAUACGGUAACCACAAAUGUCUCCAGACACUGUCCCAUGUCCCCUGGCGGGCAAAACCGCCCCAGCUGAGAACCACUGGACUGGAGUUCCUGUCGUGGCUCAGACGAAACAAAUCUGACUGCCAUCCAUGAGGACGCAGGUUUGAUCCCUGGCCUCUCGCAGUGGGUUAAGGAUCCGGCGUUGCCGUGAGCUUUGGUGUAGGUCACAGAUGUGGCUCGGAUCCUGUGUCGCUAUGGCUGUGGCAGAGGCCGGCAGCUACAGCUCCAAUUCAGCCUCUAGCCUGGGAACCUCCAUUUGCUGUGGACACAGCCCUAAAAAAAAAAAAAAAAAAAAAAAAAGAAAAGAAAAGAAAAAGAAAAAGAACCACUGGACUAAAGGAUACCUUCCACACUGGGUUACUGAAACAAUGCAAUGUAAACACAAAUAGUAAGUUAUGUAUUAAGCUCCAUCAGGUGCUCCGUGAGAUUGAAAGAAGACGUGUGAUUAAACCAAGGUAAAGCUGAUGAAUGAAACAGGUCCAAACCAAGUGGAAAGGAUGCUUCUGCCACCACCUUACAAGGGUGCGUUGAGGCAACUGGUCCUCAGGUCCUACGGCGUCUUUUAUCCUCAAGAGCCUCUUUCAAAUCAAUUUUGUUAAAAUACAAUUUAUAGGUAACAAGCCACGCUCACCUAAAAUGUAUACACUCUGAGUGUUUUGACAAAUGUUGACACCCAUGAGAACAGCCGUGUGUUAUAUUCUGACAGUCAAGAGGCCAGGGCUGCAGCCCUGCCUGUCCUGGGCUAGCAGGUCCAUAGCAAGUCAGACUGGUUACUGGGGAACAAAACCUCUGGCUUCUCCUAGUCCAGGUCCCAAGAGUGGCCCAGGGCGGAGCUUGCAAUCCUUGGGAAACACCCAUCCCAAAGGAUGGUGGGCUCAUAGCAAGGGGAGAUUAACUGGAGCCCCGUGGUUUCAUUUCGUCCUGGGCCUGGCACUCGAGGGAGCCUGUGUGGGCCUCUCCUGCCUCAAUGCCUACCUUUGGGGAGCCACCUGCACUUGCCCCCUUGCACUGGUGUCCUGGUUCAUGACAAAUGAAGGAAGGAUGGUUCAAUGCCAGAACACUUCCUGAUAAAAGGAUCCAGAGCCACCAGCACCUUCAAGGCUUUCAGAUGGGCAAAGGGGCCCGAGGCAGUGAGCAGGAGCCCUGUUUCUACCCUGCACGUGCUUCCAGCCAUUGGUGCAGUGGGGCCCUUCCCAGGGUGCCCUGUUCUCCAACCCCCCGUGCCAGUGCAGACCUGGAAGAAAACAUUCACGAACAGGGCUGUGCACACCUGCGCCCAAACACUCGUCAAGAAGCACUUUCAUCAAAACUAAAAGAGCGAGAACCGCUUACUGGACGCGGGAGGCAGAUCUGAGGAUGCGUGUGCUCUGUGACCAUAAAGUCUAACGUUCCAAUCAAAUGAUGUGUCACGUUUAUAUGAUUUUUAUACAUCUAUUUAGAAGGAAAAGCCUUAUUCUCUUUUCCUCAGACCUUUUUCUUAAAGCAGUGCUCAUCUUCCGGAACUUUCUUAGGAGCCUCCAGCUGGGACGCCCUGUGCAGAGUCAACACAACUGAGGACAAGACAGAGAAAGAGCUGGAAGCCGAGACAUCUGUUCACCUUGUGACAGGUUCCAGGCAGUUAAACGCUCACUCCGGCACACCACUGCCCUGAGCCCUCUCGGGCCCCAAGGAGUGGAGAAGGUAAGACGUCCAAGAGGAGAGAACACACUGCUGGCAUCUCCUUCAUCAGCGUCUCCUGCAAAAUGCAGUGAAGGCUGAGAGGCAUUUUGCCACCUUACAUGCUUAGCCCCCGACUGUGAAGCAAGAACCACAAGAACUAUUUCUUGCAGGAACAUGUCUUCUAUUGGCCUUGAUAAAAACAUAGCUGUUAUCAAAAGAAGUAAUUCACAAAUUUUAAACCUCCAAUAAUAGACACUAAAUUUUGGAGUUCCCCUGUGGCACAGUGGACUAAGAAUCUGAUUACAGCAGCUCUGGUCGCUGCAGAGGCAUGAGUUCGAUGCCGGGACCAAAUUUGAACCCUGGCCGGGGAACUUCGUAUGCUGUGGGUGUGGCCAUAAAAACAACAAUGAAGGAAGACUUCUCUCCUGACUGUCUCUGUGUUCCUUUAAAAGAGAAAUAAACAAAUAUUAUUAAAAUGCUAAGAGGUCACUCAAGGACAAGUGUGAAAUUGCUAAUGGAUCACAUUUUAUUAAUUAAGUUGGAUUUUAAUAGCGAGGGAUGGAAAAGAAAGGAAGGGAAAAUAAUUUUAAACAACAGCAAUAAAAAGAGCACCUGAUGUGGUUGCAUCUUUGCGGUCCUGCCUGGUUCCCAUGUCCGGCCCACCACGACAAUUUCCCUUAAAAGCCAACCAUAAGGAGUACCUUAGCAAUAAAACUGGUAACUUCAUAAAGAGAAGGACGCACGGAGAAGGGAAUCAGCCCAAAUACAUCAGAGAUUUCCAAAGUGAGGUCUGCAGCCUAAAACACGGUCCCCGUUAUUUGAUGCUGACUUGAUAACCACACAAAUUGGAAUUGCCACAAUUUAAUGAACGUUCCCAUGUGAUACACAAGAAACACAAGCCUAAGUGAAUUGGGCUUGAGUACAGCAGCAGACGUUAAUAAAAUACUGAAGGAAAGAAAACAAAACUGUCUGCCAGUGUUUCUUACAAUGGUGAUGUGUUCUUACCUGCAAUUCCUACACCCACAACUCCUGCUUCUGACUGCGGCCUGGGCCUUCCCGGGGAGCCAGGCCUCCCGCAGGGAGAGCUCAGGCAGCUGCUUGCUGAUGACCCCGGGGUCAUGUUCUCAUCACCAGACACCCCCUGCCGGCCAUCACCUUGGAGGGAAAGCGGAGCAUGUUCUACAGGGAAACCUGACGGGGACGAGCUGCAAUCACCUCCACUUAGGCAAGGCCAGUCCUCACAUUUCCAACCACGAGAAGUCUUUGCACCCAAGAUAAAGAAAAAUAAACACGGGAGAGUAACUCCGCCUCUUCCCAUCAGACGGUCCAGUGGGAAUUAAAAUACCACCACCCGACGCAGAACACAGAUGUUUCAAACACAGGACAGACUACACUUGCUGCUGAGCCCGUGACCUUCAGCUCCGCAGACGUGGAGGAUUCGGUCAUCACCGGAGGGUAGGACCACCGAUGCCGACAGCACGGCCUCUCUUUCAGA
rnacentral:lncRNA from 1 species